GUCAAGUCUCACGUCCCUGAGCUCCAGGUCAAGUCUCACGUCCCUGAGCUCCAGGUCAAGUCUCACGUCCCUGAGCUCCAGGUCCAGCCUCCAGUCCCUGAGCUCCAGGUCUAGCCUCCAGUCCCUGAGCUCCUGGUCCAGCCUCCAGUCCCUGAGCUCCAGGUCAAGUCUCACGUCCCUGAGCUCCAGGUCAAGUCUCACGUCCCUGAGCUCCAGGUCAAGUCUCACGUCCCUGAGCUCCAGGUCAAGUCUCACGUCCCUGAGCUCCAGGUCCAGCCUCCAGUCCCUGAGCUCCAGGUCCAGCCUCCAGUCCCUGAGCUCCAGGUCCAGCCUCCAG
ensembl:lncRNA